AUACGGAGGGUGCAAGCGUUAUGCGGAAUCACUGGGCGUAAAGGACGCGUAGGCGGGUUGGCAAGUCAGAUGUGAAAUCCUACAGCUUAACUGUAGAACUGCAUUUGAAACUGCUAACCUAGAGUAUGGGAGGGGGAGAUGGAAUUAGUGGUGUAGGGGUAAAAUCCGUAGAUAUCACUAGGAAUACCGAAAGCGAAGGCGAUCUCCUGGAACAUAACUGACGCUAAGGCGUGAAAGCGUGGGGAGCAAACAGGAUUAGAAACCCCGUAGUCC
rnacentral:rRNA from 1 species